GACGAACCGUCCAAACGUUAUUCGGAAUCACUGGGCUUACAGAGUUCGUAGGCGGUUUGGAAAGUUGGGUGUGAAAUCCCUCGGCUCAACCGAGGAACUGCGCUCAAAACUGCCAGACUCGAGGGAGAUAGAGGAAAGCGGAACUGAUGGUGGAGCGGUGAAAUGCGUUGAUAUCAUCAGGAACACCGGUGGCGAAGGCGGCUACCUGGACAGAAACUGACGCUGAGGCGCGAAAGCUAGGGGAGCAAACAGG
rnacentral:rRNA from 1 species